AUGAUGGCUGAAGGUAAAAGGCGGAGGAGAAGGCUGAAGCCGGUGGAGGAGGCCAUACAGUUUUCACUUCGACAGAAAGACAAGAAUGGGGCUCGAGGGCAGAUUCAUCAGUGAUUUUAAAGGGAGGGGUGUGUUCAGCUGUACUGACUUUGAUAAAGGAGAUUUCCUGCUCGAAUACAGAGGAGACCUCAUAAGUAAAGAAGAAUGUGAGCGGAGGCAAAGAAUAUAUCACGAUGCACUUAAAGUUUUCAUGUUUGAGUUUCGCUACAAUGGAAAACUCCUCUGUGUCGAUGCAGCCCGAGAUGACGGUUCUCUUGGGCGGCUUGUAAACGAUGACCAUAUUAACCCAAACAGCAGGAUGAAAGACGAUACGUGUGGAUGGAAAACCUCACUUAUGCUUAUUUGCCAGAUGG